rnacentral:lncRNA from 1 species
CUGAACAGAUUGUGCCUGCAGCCUGGCCUGUUGCCCACAGCGGUCUACCUGCCACACUGGGAAAGAUCGAGCAGAGACAGAGAAGAAAAGGAGGCUCCAUUUUUCAGGCUGCUCUCCCGCAGGCUCAUGUUUUGUGUUCAUGCCAGGCAGAGAACACAAAAUGUUCCAAUAAAUAAGUAUCAAAGGUUAGUGGUGAAAAUGAAGGAGGAGGAGGCAUUGCGUGAAAAACUAAACAUGCAAAAUAUUACACACAAAGAGAACCAAAAUGCAGGUUCACUGGAAAUGAUAGACAAUAUGUUAAAACAAGAGGAGAGAAGAGAGCUGAAAUAA